CCCUUCUCUCCCCAUUCCCCUCCCUCCUUUCCCCCACGUUCUCAUGGCCGACCAUUAUUUCUCUCCUCUUCUACUCUUCUUCUCUCAUUAAACCUUUGCACUCGGAACCAUGUUGGCCCAUCGUGCUGAGAUUUCUAUCCCAACAAUAUGGGUAUUUUUGAAAUGAUCAUGUAUCCUUGAGUCACAUGAAGAAUGAUAUAUCAUGCUCAAACAGAAUAAAGAUAGCCAUCUCAAUCUUACUGCAAGAGUAUCUGCAGCUGAAGCCAGCUUCCUGGAUGAAGGGUGAGGCUCCCUGACCUCUCAGAUAACUGUGGCUGCUGCUACACCUGACUGGACUGAUACAGCAAGAAUUUGAAGAGCAAUUCAGACGUGGAGUUUAUUGGAACUAGAAUCUCCAGGCCAGUCUUGGAUUCCGGAAUGAACAAAAGCCUUACUGCCUUGAAGAAGGACCCUUCAACCUGAGCGUCGGUGCUGAGCCCCACUGUCGAAUGCCAUCACUCCAUCCAGAGUUCUGGUUGACCUCAGAACGGAGUUCAGCUCCUGUUCUCCACUACUGAGAAAGACUCUGAUUUGUCA
rnacentral:sRNA from 1 species